CGGCCAGUCCAGACUCCUACGGGAGGCAGCAGUGGGGAAUUUUCCGCAAUGGGCGAAAGCCUGACGGAGCAACGCCGCGUGAGGGAGGAAGGUCUUUGGAUUGUAAACCUCUUUUCUCAAGGAAGAAGUUCUGACGGUACUUGAGGAAUCAGCCUCGGCUAACUCCGUGCCAGCAGCCGCGGUAAUACGGGGGAGGCAAGCGUUAUCCGGAAUUAUUGGGCGUAAAGCGUCCGCAGGUGGUCAGCCAAGUCUGCUGUCAAAUCAGG
rnacentral:rRNA from 1 species